rnacentral:lncRNA from 1 species
AGGUAAAUAGACAACCAACUGUUCUUCAAGGCUGCACUCAUCUAUCCUGCCCCCAUUCAAGAUAUUCUAGAAAGUUCCCCAACCCUUUCCCCAAGCAGUAGUAACUAUGGCAACGAACCUGUGGAAGCAGAGAAGGCUGAGGCAGCCCCAAAGGGAAUUUUUACAGCCCCAGGGAGAAGAGUGAAGGUGACCAACACUGUCAGAGAUGUCUGUAUGGCAACAGGGACAGACAAAGUUGUGGAGGGACCCACGAGAAUGAGAACACACAGCAUGUACCGACAUGAACAGAUAUUGGCCAGUCGCUACAUACGAGCACCCUCCUGUAUUGUCUUCCACCACACCCACCCCAUCUCUGGAACCCGGAUGUAUUCCCAAAAGAAGAUAAUAUAGGAACAUGCCAAGAUGGAUGGGUUUCUUACAGUUACUAAAAUUCACUUCCUACCACUUUGCUGAAGAAGCUCAAACAGAACGUCAAACUUUGUGCGGUUGGACACAGCGACUCUGCCUUACACUGGGGCUUGUGGCGUGUGAACUAUGACGGAGCUGUUCAAACUGUUAGUGCCAUUGCUGGAGUCAGCACCGUGGCUGAUUGGGGCAGGGAUGCUGAGCCCGUUCCAUGCUUCUGUUUAUGCUCCAAUGAUUAUUAUCUUUGGACAACUUGACGCUGGUUAACUUAACAGCAACAAGUGUUGAAGAAGCCACUGGAGGAUCCCAAGUAGUUCCCCUUAGAGGCCUGCUAAGUCAGACGUUUUACAGUUGGAGUUUCUUGUUUAUUUGCCUUAAAAAUUUAAAGAAUGUUAAGCUUGG